rnacentral:rRNA from 1 species
AUUGAACGCUGGCGGCAGGCCUAACACAUGCAAGUCGAGCGGAUGAAGGGAGCUUGCUCCUGGAUUCAGCGGCGGACGGGUGAGUAAUGCCUAUGAAUCUGCCUGGUAGUGGGGGAUAACGUCCGGAAACGGGCGCUAAUACCGCAUACGUCCUGCGGGAGAAAGUUGGUGAUCUUCGGACCUCACGCUCUCAGAUGAGCCUAGGUCGGAUUAGCUAGUUGGUGGGGUAAAGGCCUACCAAGGCGACGAUCCGUAACUGGUCUGAGAGGAUGAUCAGUCACACUGGAACUGGGACACGGUCAAGACUCCUACGGGAGGCAGCAGUGGGGAAUAGUAGACAAUGGGCGAAAGCCUGGUCCAGCCAGGCCGCGUGUGUGAAGAAGGUCUUCGGAUUGUAAAGAACUUUAAGUUGGGAGGAAGGGCAGUAAGUUAAUACCUUGCUGUUUUGACGUUACCAACAGAAUAAGCACCGGCUAACUUCGUG